GCCAACGUCCAUACCACGUUGAAUACACCGGUUCUCGUCCGAUCACCGAAGUUAAACAACGUCGGGCGCGGUCAGUACUUGGAUGGGUGACCGCCUGGGAACACCGCGUGAUGUUGGCU
rnacentral:rRNA from 1 species